rnacentral:tRNA from 1 species
GGUAAAUUGGCCGAGUGUUAGGCGAUAGGCUGUAGUCCUACUUACAUUGGUUUAAUUCCUUUCUUUAUC